rnacentral:tRNA from 1 species
ACCUUCGUGGUAUAGUGGUCAGCACGCUGGGCGCGUAUUCCAGAGGUCCGUGGUUCGAGUCCCGACGAAGGCG